rnacentral:lncRNA from 1 species
AAGUUUAAAGGAUUCUUAAUUUUUUGGACUUUUAUAUAUUAUUUUGUAUGGUUUACCUAAAAAAUCUAGUCUUCCAUUCAUUUAUUUUACAAAUGUAUAUAGUUCAAAAGAAGGGUGGGUGAUUCAUGUAUAUUUUAAUACUAGAUUAACUGCCAGCAUUAAAUAGUGUAUUAGUGGUGCUUGUUGUAUUUUGAAAUAUACCAUUUGAUAGCAAUUAUAAAAAAAUUAGAAGAUUCCAGUGAAAUCCUGGAACAAUUGUGUUAUGAUAAAAUAUGCCUUAAUCUUCAUGGUUACAUAUUAAAGUAAAAAGCCUGAACAUGACCUUUGGUAAUGUUUUUAUAUUGUUUCGAGUUAUUAGCAUUUUAAAAUAUAUUACCAUAUAUCCCUUUUAUGAUAUGCAUGACAAUCUUAUAUCAAAUGGUUUUGGUUUAUGGGGUAUGCAUCUAUAGGACAUAUCUUAUGGGAAUGGUUAUUUUGAUAUAAAUGCUUUAUACAUACAUUUGUGAAAAAUUUGAUUUAGGUAAGCAGUGCUUGUUUGUACAAAUGUAUCAAAAUUUAAGUAAAAUGUUAUUAUAGUAUCACUUAAAUUGAUUUUUGAAGGCAGCUCUUUGAACUUAAUAUACAAUCAGAUAAUCAUGCUUUAGAAAUGUAUUUUAGUAAGUUUUCCUAUAUGAUGAUUUUCAGUGGGGAUGUCUGAAAAAAAUGCAUAAGUUUUGGACUUUACAGCCCUACUUUAAAUGUAUUUGAAACAAUCCAAUAAUUAUGUUUUGAUUUUAAACUAUCUCCAGUUGUCCAGAAAACGAAUAGUAACACAAACUUUAUUGAUAUUAUCAUUGAUGACUUUAUAUACUGCACGAUUUUCAUUGAUUGUAUAACAAAUACAAUUUACCUGUAUUUGCUACUAUGUAUAUAAUAGUUGCAUUAUACAUAUGUUUAGUAAUUUCAAUACUGAUUAAUAAGUGACAUUUAUAUAUAAAAUUGUAUUGCUUCCUGACACUUGUUCCUGUGUGUUACACUUUUAAUGUGUAGUGUUACUGUGUUUGUACUUAUUUUUCCGUGUAAUUACUCCGUCAGGAUGUUGUGAAAAAUGAAUGCUGAUAUAGAUUGUUGUUGUUGCAUAAUAGCUGUAGACAAAUUUUUGUAGAUCAUAAACUUUUUUUUAUGCACAAAUUCAGGGAAAGCAUUGUAAAAGAGACAAAUGUGUUUGUUUUGAAGUUGAAAUUAUGUUAUUUUGAAUCUCACUUUAUAGUUUUGUAUAAUAAGAAUUCAUUACCGUAUACUUUUUGUUUAUAGUGCUAAACUGUUUGUUUUAUAUAAUAAUCAAG